rnacentral:rRNA from 1 species
GUGGGGAAUCUUGCGCAAUGGGCGAAAGCCUGACGCAGCCAUGCCGCGUGAAUGAUGAAGGUCUUAGGAUUGUAAAAUUCUUUCACCGGGGACGAUAAUGACGGUACCCGGAGAAGAAGCUCCGGCUAACUUCGUGCCAGCAGCCGCGGUAAUACGAAGGGGGCUAGCGUUGCUCGGAAUUACUGGGCGUAAAGGGCGCGUAGGCGGACAGCUUAGUCAGAGGUGAAAGCCCAGGGCUCAACCGUGGAAUUGCCUUUGAUACUGGCUGUCUUGAGUUUGAGAGAGGUGAGUGGAACUCCGGGUGUAGAGGUGAAAUUCGUAGAUAUUCGGAAGAACACCAGUGGCGAAGGCGACUCACUGGCCCAAUACUGACGCUGAGGCGCGAAAGCGUGGGGAGCAAACAGGAUUAGAUACCCCUGUAGUCC